GGGGAGCUUGCUCCCUGGUGGCGAGCGGCGGACGGGUGAGUAAUGCAUAGGAAUCUGCCCGGUAGUGGGGGAUAACGUGGGGAAACCCACGCUAAUACCGCAUACGUCCUACGGGAGAAAGCGGAGGAUCUUCGGACUUCGCGCUAUCGGAUGAGCCUAUGUCGGAUUAGCUAGUUGGUAAGGUAACGGCUUACCAAGGCGACGAUCCGUAGCUGGUCUGAGAGGAUGAUCAGCCACACUGGGACUGAGACACGGCCCAGACUCCUACGGGAGGCAGCAGUGGGGAAUAUUGGACAAUGGGCGAAAGCCUGAUCCAGCCAUGCCGCGUGUGUGAAGAAGGCUUUCGGGUUGUAAAGCACUUUCAGCGAGGAAGAAAGCCUCUGGGUUAAUACCCCAGAGGAAGGACAUCACUCGCAGAAGAAGCACCGGCUAACUCCGUGCCAGCAGCCGCGGUAAUACGGAGGGUGCGAGCGUUAAUCGGAAUUACUGGGCGUAAAGCGCGCGUAGGUGGCUUGGCACGCCGGUUGUGAAAGCCCCGGGCUCAACCUGGGAACGGCAUCCGGAACGGCCAGGCUAGAGUGCAGGAGAGGAAGGUAGAAUUCCCGGUGUAGCGGUGAAAUGCGUAGAGAUCGGGAGGAAUACCAGUGGCGAAG
rnacentral:rRNA from 1 species